AUGAAUUUCAUGCUUCUGGGCUGCCGAUUGAGCGUUAUUGAAGAGACUGGGGUUCCAUUUGAAGUGUCCAUGGUAGGAAUUUGGCAUAGCUUCUGCACAGGUAACUUUCUGUUCUAUAAUACAGUAAUCAUAGAUAAUCUGAAGCCUUUUUUCAAGGAGUCAUUACUAUGGUACUCUUGCUUGGGAGUUUGUACUAAGGCCUUUCAGUAUUUAAGGAGAGACAAGCCAUGUGCUUAUGACACCUUUUUAAAUAAAGGUCCCCAACAAUAA